rnacentral:lncRNA from 1 species
ACGAAUAUACAAACUGUGCAAUAUCCCUUUUUAAAACAUUCUCUUAAGGUCUUGGUACAUUUCAAUAGCCCGAGGAUGAAUGCUCAAACCUCUUUGGUGACUCUCCUACAAAAUAGUCUUCUUAAGUUUCGUCGCAUCAAUUAUGCAUACUUUAUCCCGAAAUUUAAGGAUCCCAUUCUUAUCGAAUAUAAAAUCUUAGUAUUCAUUAGCUGAUGACAAACAAUCAA